UACAGAGGGUGCGAGCGUUAAUCGGAAUUACUGGGCGUAAAGCGUGCGCAGGCGGUUGUGCAAGACAGAUGUGAAAUCCCCGGGCUUAACCUGGGAAUUGCAUUUGUGACUGCACGGCUAGAGUGUGUCAGAGGGGGGUAGAAUUCCACGUGUAGCAGUGAAAUGCGUAGAGAUGUGGAGGAAUACCGAUGGCGAAGGCAGCCCCCUGGGAUAACACUGACGCUCAUGCACGAAAGCGUGGGGAGCAAACAGG
rnacentral:rRNA from 1 species